GGUUGACCUCGGAUCAGGUAGGAAUACCCGCUGAACUUAAGCAUAUCAAUAAGCCGGAGGAA
rnacentral:rRNA from 2 species